rnacentral:lncRNA from 1 species
AAAUAAAAGAAACACACACAAUAAACACAACAUUCAAUACAAAAACCAUGCCAUGAUGCAUAUGCCAAGAUGAUGCACACAAAGGUUACUUCUAACGUACAAAGUUUCGUUUCUGUUUUGAAAAGGCUCUCAAAAGAUUUGGACAGAUUAUACAACAUCAAAGUGGUAAUUAAUAUGCAAGAAACAUGAAUAGGGUUUAAAACAAAAGAUUUUGCGGCUUUUGUAACAUAGAGCAAUAGUUAACUUGUAUGCCAUGAUUAAACACAAAAUAAUUUCUUUUCUGGUCCUAAUGGAUAGAGAACGAGUUUAAAUAAUUUUAUAGCAAGCUAACAUGCUCAAAACUAUUUUGAAACAAUUCAUUUGAAAUUUAAACCAUAAACCACCAUUCUGUAAAUAGCUACUGUCUAAGUUAUUCAAAACUGAAAAUAAACAGUGCCAAAAUAUUCUACACGUUGCGACGAUUCCAGAAAGGUGUGGAUCGUAAAUUUUGGACAAACGGUUUAAAAGAUAUAAAGGUUUGAAGUUAUAGGGUCUUUUCUGCAAAAGUGUAUUAUCCACUUCGGCCGAAUAAAAAAAAUAGGAUAAAAUAAAACAAAACUUGCCACGUGGCGAAACCUGACUGGCCC